rnacentral:rRNA from 1 species
UACGGAGGGUGCGAGCGUUAAUCGGAAUUACUGGGCGUAAAGGGUGCGUAGGUGGUUUGAUAAGUUAUCUGUAAAAUCCCCGGGCUUAACCUGGGCAGGUCAGAUAAGACUGUUGGACUUGAGUACAGGAGAGGGCAGUGGAAUUUCCGGUGUAGCGGUGAAAUGCGUAGAGAUCGGAAGGAACACCAGUGGCGAAGGCGGCUGCCUGGCCUGAUACUGACACUGAGGCACGAAAGCGUGGGGAGCAAACAGG